CCCCGGCGGGGCAGGGGCUGCGCGCAGCCGGCAGCCCUGGGGGCGGGGGGCGGACUCGGCCUCGGCGCGCGCGGAUUGGGUGCCGGUGGGUGCGGGGCGCCCGCGGCAGCCCUCCCUCGAACGCGGCGACGUUGCCCUUAUUCCCGCCCACUCACAGAGAGGGCAACUGAGGCGCACCGCAGUCCUGGAGGCCAGAGGUCCGCAUUCAAGGUGUCGGCGGAGCUGUGUUCCCCCCGAAGGCUCCAGGGAAGGAUCUGUUCCCUGCCUGUCCCGGCUGCUGGUGGCUGGCAGCCAUCCUUGGCAACCCUUGGCUUGUGGAUGCGUCACUCCAGUCUCUGCCACCCUGCUGUCACGUGAGUUCUCCUCACGCCCCGCCCCCCAACAUUAUUGCGGAAUCAUUGACAAAUAUAAUUGUAUAUAUUUAA